AUUGAACGCUGGCGGCAGGCCUAACACAUGCAAGUCGAGCGGUAACAGAGAGUAGCUUGCUACUCUGCUGACGAGCGGCGGACGGGUGAGUAAUGCUUGGGAAUAUGCCUUAUGGUGGGGGACAACAGUUGGAAACGACUGCUAAUACCGCAUGAUGUCUACGGACCAAAGUGGGGGACCUUCGGGCCUCACGCCAUAAGAUUAGCCCAAGUGGGAUUAGCUAGUUGGUGAGGUAAUGGCUCACCAAGGCGACGAUCCCUAGCUGGUUUGAGAGGAUGAUCAGCCACACUGGGACUGAGACACGGCCCAGACUCCUACGGGAGGCAGCAGUGGGGAAUAUUGCACAAUGGGCGCAAGCCUGAUGCAGCCAUGCCGCGUGUGUGAAGAAGGCCUUCGGGUUGUAAAGCACUUUCAGUAAGGAGGAAAGGUUAAGUGUUAAUAGCGCUUAGCUGUGACGUUACUUACAGAAGAAGCACCGGCUAACUCCGUGCCAGCAGCCGCGGUAAUACGGAGGGUGCGAGCGUUAAUCGGAAUUACUGGGCGUAAAGCGUACGCAGGCGGUUUGUUAAGCGAGAUGUGAAAGCCCCGGGCUCAACCUGGGAACUGCAUUUCGAACUGGCAAACUAGAGUGUGAUAGAGGGUGGUAGAAUUUCAGGUGUAGCGGUGAAAUGCGUAGAGAUCUGAAGGAAUACCGAUGGCGAAGGCAGCCACCUGGGUCAACACUGACGCUCAUGUACGAAAGCGUGGGGAGCAAACAG
rnacentral:rRNA from 1 species